CCGUGCCAGCAGCCGCGGUAAUACGGAGGGGGUUAGCGUUGUUCGGAAUUACUGGGCGUAAAGCGCGCGUAGGCGGAUUAGAAAGUUGGGGGUGAAAUCCCGGGGCUCAACCUCGGAACUGCCUCCAAAACUGCUAGUCUAGAGUUCGAGAGAGGUGAGUGGAAUUCCGAGUGUAGAGGUGAAAUUCGUAGAUAUUCGGAGGAACACCAGUGGCGAAGGCGGCUCACUGGCUCGAUACUGACGCUGAGGUGCGAAAGUGUGGGGAGCAAACAGGAUUAGAUACCCUGGUAGUCCACACCGUAAACGAUGAAUGCCAGUCGUCGGGUAGUAUACUAUUCGGUGACACACCUAACGGAUUAAGCAUUCCGCCUGGGGAGUACGGUCGCAAGAUUAAAACUCAAAGGAAUUGACGGGG
rnacentral:rRNA from 1 species